AUUGAACGCUGGCGGCAGGCCUAACACAUGCAAGUCGAACGAGUGGCGGACGGGUGAGUAAUGUCUGGGAAACUGCCUGCUGGAGGGGGAUAACUACUGGAAACGGUCGCUAAUACCGCAUACAAUCGGAUGUGACCAGAUGUGAUUAGCUAGUUGGUGGGGUAAAGGCGCACCUAGGCGGCGAUCCCUAGCUGGGCGGCUAGGAGGACGAGCCACAUUGGAACUGUGACACGGUCCAGACUCCGACGGGAGGCAGCAGGGGGGAAUAUUGCACAAUGGGCGAAAGCCGUAUGCAGCAAUGCAGCGUGUAUGAAGAAGGCCUUCGGUUUGUAAAGUACUUUCAGCGGGGAGGCGUUACCCGCAGAAGAAGCACCGGCUAACUCCGUGCCAGCCGCCGCGGUAAUUC
rnacentral:rRNA from 1 species